rnacentral:rRNA from 1 species
UACGAAGGGGGCUAGCGUUGCUCGGAAUUACUGGGCGUAAAGGGCGCGUAGGCGGACAGUUUAGUCAGAGGUGAAAGCCCAGGGCUCAACCUUGGAAUUGCCUUUGAUACUGGCUGUCUUGAGUUCGGGAGAGGUGAGUGGAAUGCCGAGUGUAGAGGUGAAAUUCGUAGAUAUCGGGAGGAACACCGGUGGCGAAGGCGGCGAUCUGGGUAGAUACUGACGCUGAGGUGCGAAAGCGUGGGGAGCAAACAGG